UCGAUUGAGAUGAUAUCGACUCCAACAGCUAACCCAAUUCGAUUGAGAUGAUAUCGACUCCAACAGAGAUGAAAUCGACUUCAACAGACUCUCCCCUAUCGAUUUCAAGAUUUUGAUGAAAUUGAUUGUCUUCACUCUCCCCUAUUAAUUUCAUCGGUUCCAUCAGAUUACGAUUGAGAUGAUAUCGACUCCAACAGACUCUUCCAGAUGCGUAUAUAUUUGACAUAUCAGGUGCUUCAGACGCAGCCUGAUUUCGUUCACCAAUUUUACAGCGAUAGGAGCACGUUAGUGAUUGAUGAAAUCAAGGCUAUGUACAUCUUGUGAAGCAUUUGACARCUUGUGGAUUUAGCUCUAAACUUAGAGAUCUGCUGAUGAGAUUUUAACUUCCUUUCUCUUCUCUUUGGUUUACCCGAUUGAUGAAAUCAAGGCUAUGUACAUCUUGUGAAGCAUUUGACAGCUUGUGGAUUUAGCUCUAAACUUAGAGACUGGUGGACAUGGCGAUCAACUUCCCUAAGAUUGGAUUAGUUGUACAGGGAUCUCAAAGAAAGCAUUGAAUCUAUAAAGCUCAAAUUUCCCCAUCCAUUCUUCAUCUCUU